UACGUAGGGUGCGAGCGUUAAUCGGAAUUACUGGGCGUAAAGCGUGCGUAGGCGGUUCGUUAAGUCAGCUGUGAAAGCCCCGGGCUCAACCUGGGAACUGCGGUUGAAACUGGCGAACUAGAAUCUGGCAGAGGGGGGUGGAAUUCCACGUGUAGCAGUGAAAUGCGUAGAGAUGUGGAGGAAUACCGAUGGCGAAGGCAGCCCCCUGGGCCAAUACUGACGCUCAUGCACGAAAGCGUAGGGAGCAAACAGG
rnacentral:rRNA from 1 species